rnacentral:rRNA from 1 species
AACGCUAGCUACAGGCUUAACACAUGCAAGUCGAGGGGCAGCAUGGUCUUAGCUUGCUAAGGCCGAUGGCGACCGGCGCACGGGUGAGUAACACGUAUCCAACCUGCCGUCUACUCUUGGACAGCCUUCUGAAAGGAAGAUUAAUACAAGAUGGCAUCAUGAGUCCGCAUGUUCACAUGAUUAAAGGUAUUCCGGUAGACGAUGGGGAUGCGUUCCAUUAGAUAGUAGGCGGGGUAACGGCCCACCUAGUCUUCGAUGGAUAGGGGUUCUGAGAGGAAGGUCCCCCACAUUGGAACUGAGACACGGUCCAAACUCCUACGGGAGGCAGCAGUGAGGAAUAUUGGUCAAUGGGCGAGAGCCUGAACCAGCCAAGUAGCGUGAAGGAUGACUGCCCUAUGGGUUGUAAACUUCUUUUAUAAAGGAAUAAAGUCGGGUAUGGAUACCCGUUUGCAUGUACUUUAUGAAUAAGGAUCGGCUAACUCCGUGCCAGCAGCCGCGGUAAUACGGAGGAUCCGAGCGUUAUCCGGAUUUAUUGGGUUUAAAGGGAGCGUAGAUGGAUGUUUAAGUCAGUUGUGAAAGUUUGCGGCUCAACCGUAAAAUUGCAGUUGAUACUGGAUAUCUUGAGUGCAGUUGAGGCAGGCGGAAUUCGUGGUGUAGCGGUGAAAUGCUUAGAUAUCACGAAGAACUCCGAUUGCGAAGGCAGCCUGCUAAGCUGCAACUGACAUUGAGGCUCGAAAGUGUGGGUAUCAAACAGGAUUAGAUACCCUGGUAGUCCACACGGUAAACGAUGAAUACUCGCUGUUUGCGAUAUACAGCAAGCGGCCAAGCGAAAGCGUUAAGUAUUCCACCUGGGGAGUACGCCGGCAACGGUGAAACUCAAAGGAAUUGACGGGGGCCCGCACAAGCGGAGGAACAUGUGGUUUAAUUCGAUGAUACGCGAGGAACCUUACCCGGGCUUAAAUUGCAGAUGAAUUACGGUGAAAGCCGUAAGCCGCAAGGCAUCUGUGAAGGUGCUGCAUGGUUGUCGUCAGCUCGUGCCGUGAGGUGUCGGCUUAAGUGCCAUAACGAGCGCAACCCUUGUUGUCAGUUACUAACAGGUUCCGCUGAGGACUCUGACAAGACUGCCAUCGUAAGAUGUGAGGAAGGUGGGGAUGACGUCAAAUCAGCACGGCCCUUACGUCCGGGGCUACACACGUGUUACAAUGGGGGGUACAGAGGGCCGCUACCACGCGAGUGGAUGCCAAUCCCCAAAACCUCUCUCAGUUCGGACUGGAGUCUGCAACCCGACUCCACGAAGCUGGAUUCGCUAGUAAUCGCGCAUCAGCCACGGCGCGGUGAAUACGUUCCCGGGCCUUGUACACACCGCCCGUCAAGCCAUGGGAGCCGGGGGUACCUGAAGUUCGUGACCGCAAGGAGCGACCUAGGGCAAAACUGGUGACUGGGGCUA